GACGAACGCUGGCGGCGUGCUUAACACAUGCAAGUCGAACGGUAAGGCCCUUCGGGGUACACGAGUGGCGAACGGGUGAGUAACACGUGGGUGAUCUACCCUGCACUUCGGGAUAAGCCUGGGAAACUGGGUCUAAUACCGGAUAGGACCACUGCCUGCAUGGGUGGUGGGGGAAAGCUUUUGCGGUGUGGGAUGGGCCCGCGGCCUAUCAGCUUGUUGGUGGGGUGAUGGCCUACCAAGGCGACGACGGGUAGCCGGCCUGGGAGGGUGACCGGCCACACUGGGACUGAGAUACGGCCCAGACUCCUACGGGAGGCAGCAGUGGGGAAUAUUGCACAAUGGGCGCAAGCCUGAUGCAGCGACGCCGCGUGAGGGAUGACGGCCUUCGGGUUGUAAACCUCUUUCAGCACCGACGAAGCGCAAGUGACGGUAGGUGCAGAAGAAGGACCGGCCAACUACGUGCCAGCCGCCGCCGUAA
rnacentral:rRNA from 1 species